UUAAAAUAACUGAAACUUUCAUCAACAUUAGUCUAUCUAAUCAGUGCUGAUUCUUUAGGUCUGACUGA